rnacentral:lncRNA from 1 species
UUUUCUGAUUCUUUUUAAAAAAAUAAAUGCCUAAUUUUUCAUAAAAUUCAAAAAGAAGCUUUCUGUUGGGCCAAUAAGGCGCGGCCAGGUGGUACACCGGUACUCCACCCAACUGUUUCUUAAGAGUAGGAAUUUUUAUGUACAUCAGAAGUAUCGGAAGAAUCACCGUAUAUAACUGAAGGAAGUUACAGUAACCGCAAGCGGUUACAAGCGGUUUCGAUUGGCUGGAAGUGGCCUCGAAAAAUAGGAAGAGUGGCAGAUCAUGGGUGAAAAAUAACUGAUCAACAUAGGCGCGUUAUAAAUAGGCAAAUAACGCCCUGAAAAGAGGUCUUUUCCCUAAAAACAGAAGACCACCUUUAUUUUCUCUACAAUUUCCUCGCAUUUCCUAGGAGUAGUCUACUUGUAAUUCUUUAUUUUUCCACACUUACAGUUUAUCCCUAGGAGUAGUUUUUAAUUUAGAUCAACCGAGUCUGUAUGCCCUUAGGCACACUCGACCUUUGUACUGUUUUCACAAGUCAUCUUCAAUAUAUAUAAAGGCAUUCGGCAUUUUCAGCCGAUCAGUCGCUGUGUAUUCCAUCUAUUCGGCUCUUCGGUAGACCCUAGUCUUUGUGCAGUCCAUACAUUUGGCUCAUCCAGUCGAACCGAUUUUAUAGUGAAGGUUUUCGAAUUCGGCUAAUCCGAUCCCUCAUCAGCCGAAUCGCUUGAUCCAGUCGAAGGGCGCAAACUUUGUGGGUCAUUAACUGUAGCCGUUCCGCAUUCCUACACUCUUUUCAAGGGAGAUCUUUGACCAGGCCAAGGAUCAGGACGUUCCACACCUAACACUUUCCAAAUAAGCUUUGGAACCAAACAUGAAAGAACUGAAAAAAUAUUUUUUUUCAUAGAAAACCUUUUUUUCUUAGAUUUUUUUUCCAUACUUUUUGGAAGAACCAAAUAGCUCUUUAAAUAAAAACGUAUAAAAUUUAUCUAAACUAUAAAUUAUUUUGAUUUGACUAUCUAAUCUUACAAAAUUUUAAGUUUAUUAUCCAACCUAUUAAUUUGUUUAAUUUGAAUCAAUCAAUGAUACUUGAACUUUAAAAUUUAAGCUAAUUAUUUAUUUUAAUAAUUUUAUAAUCACGAGAAUUGUAUAAAAUAUAUUAAGUAAAUCUGUAAAGAUAACGGACACAUUCAAAUUUUAUAAUCAAAGUAUAGUUGACUGACUCAAAUCAAACAAAUUAAAAAAUUAAGUAAUAAAAUCAAAAUUUUAAAAUGAUAAAUUGCGAAAUCAAAAUAGGCCA